GACGAACGCUGGCGGCGUGCUUAACACAUGCAAGUCGAACGAUGAACCACUUCGGUGGGGGAUUAGUGGCGAACGGGUGAGUAACACGUGGGCAAUCUGCCCUUCACUCUGGGACAAGCCCUGGAAACGGGGUCUAAUACCGGAUAACACUGCCACGGGCAUCUGUGGUGGUUAAAAGCUCCGGCGGUGAAGGAUGAGCCCGCGGCCUAUCAGCUUGUUGGUGAGGUAAUGGCNCACCAAGGCGACGACGGGUAGCCGGCCUGAGAGGGCGACCGGCCACACUGGGACUGAGACACGGCCCAGACUCCUACGGGAGGCAGCAGUGGGGAAUAUUGCACAAUGGGCGAAAGCCUGAUGCAGCGACGCCGCGUGAGGGAUGACGG
rnacentral:rRNA from 1 species